AUGCUGCCACUCCUCACCCUUGUCAUCACAUCAUGUUUGUGUAUCACUCAUGCACUCUGGCGCAUGUUGGAAGAUGCCUCUUUUGUUGGGAGGAUUCACUGGGCCAGGACUGUCUGCGAAGCAUUGCCUUCCCAAAUGGGGGCUCAUCUUCAUUCUCACAAUGGGAAUUUCACCUACAACCUUGAGACAAAGGCAAAGCAAAACCAAGUCAGCAGGGAGACCAAGCACAUCCAUGAAUCCCAGGUACAGUGGGCUGCUCUGCUCCAUCAGGAUGAUGCUAUUGAGGAACCACCAGAUCUCAACACCAGCCUUUUCGGCAGACUUGAACUCCUUACUCAUAAGCAAGGGAAGACCAAGAGCAUUCCCUUUGCUAGGGGUGGGAGACCCCCCUGCACAGGCUGCUGGUACCCCCUAAGAGAAGCUUGCCUGCAGGAGAUUCGGUGUGGGAUAACCUUCCUCAUCAGCAUGCUGCUCCUCUUGCCUGCUCACGCGGCUGGUUAUGGGGAGGCUAAAAAUAGAGCGUGAGCUGGCUUCCAUUUCACACAGACACCAAAAGAAGAUACUGGGGUUUACUUUCAUUGCAAAGUGUUUCCAACUGUGCUAUGAAGUGUGGGGCAGCCUGCAGCCCUGCAUGGUGCUGGUGGCCUGUCCUAGCCACAUUAACAUCAGUGCCCAUGAGCCACUCUCACCAGCACUGUGGGCAUUUGGCUGCAGGGUGAAAUCUUUGCAAAGCAAAGCAAAAGCCAUGCCUGGACCACACACACUGUGGGGAUGGAUGCCUGGGAGGGACACAGAGGUGGGUUCUGUGGUGCCAGCUUCUGAGGCUGCCCCUGAGUCCAUCUAGCAAUGGAAAACAGUGGAGACGUUGUGAUUCAAAGUCAUGCUACUGAUGUGCAAUGUGACCAUCACUGUUGCCAAGGCACACAUUUUCUGUUGCUUUCUUAAAAAUCCCUUAAUCCAUGCAUAUAAAAGCCAGCUAGCAGCUUUUAUUAGACUAACCAGUGGGCCAGGGGGAAAAACCCUCCCCAGGUAGACCAGCACUUAAAAAUCCCUCAACCCAUGCAUCCCAGGUAGACCCGCACUGCUCUCCCAGCUUGCUAGCUCUUUCCCAAGGUGUGGAAAUAUUUGUAAAGACAGGUUUUCCUGCUCCAGAAAACCACCGUAGCCUGUCAGUUGGGGCAGGCGCAGGCACUCAGCUCCACAGCCAUUUGUCACACACAUUGUCCACUUGGUCACACCUUCUUCAUGUGAGAAACCCUGAAGGAAAGCUACAAGCUCAAGUACAAACUCCUGUUGAUUUGCCAUUAGUUGCGAAUGAACUUCUCGGCAGAAGUCACGGUACAGAUAACCCAGACCCUGCAGAGGAGGGAACACAAAUGCCAGCAUAGGGCCUGCAAACUGCCCAGCAGCAGAAGCGCUGGUGCAGCGAGAUGCUCACUGAAUAAUUAAUAAUGAAGGAAUCUCUCCACAUCACUGAUAAUCUCCAGCAGAAUCUCUGUCUGAAUUCAUCAAAGGAACCAGGGGGCCAGGGGAGUUUGCUCAGCUCUAGUCCUCUUAUGGAGCCAGAAUCAAAACCAGUUUAGAGAACUUCCCUCUUUCAAGCACUGAUGUGAAGAUACCCAUCAUUCCCAUGCUCCUGGUUUCACUUCUGCCAGCCUGAGCUGGUGCAGAUGCAGCUGUCCAAGCCCUGGCUCUGGAUCAGCCCUGACGUUUGUCUUGGUUCCUGUUUGCUGACUUCUUCAUCUGUCCAAUGCUACUCGCUGAGCUCAGCAAAUGCUGUUAUUCCUAUUCUGGGUCUUCAGCUUGCUCUAAUGAUGAACCUUCUUCCCACUCUUCAGCAUCCCAUCCCCUGUGCUCAAGUCAGCUUUUAUUUAGGAGACAUCCCUGAAAGCAGAUGUCAAGUGGGCCUGGGACUGGGAUGAGUUGUGCUCUCCAGCAUCAACGAGCUCUCCGAGACACAGGUUAUCGACAUGACAGAGCCAGUCAAUGCAGCUGCCACACAAGUGCACAGAUUCCCACUUUGAAAAGCCUCAGGGGAAUUGGGAAAAGAUUUAGAAAAGAAAAGAGCAUGCAUACAAAAAUAAUUCUCUGACUUUCCCAUCUCCUUUCAGCUCCCAAGUCUCCAGGCAGCCCUGUGCUGUACUGCAAGCAAACAGCUUGGCACUUCUCAUCCCAAAGUAGAAACAGUUCAGAGUCAGAGCAUCACCAGAAAUGAGUCUGACAGCAUGUCCAGCUCACCUCCUCCUCCUCUACUGCUCAGCUACAGGACUCCUCCUGCUGCAGUUGCCUGCUUACACUGGCAGAUGUGAGCUCCAAGGCACACAUGUGAGGAGCACUGGACAUAUCUCAGUGUCGUGAGUCGGAGUGAAGGUGGCAGGGAGCUGCCCCAAGGCUUUGCCCUUGGUUCCCAGCACAGAUUGCUCUGCUCACCCUGAUUUCCCACCAGUAAAUGCAACAAGCCCAAGCAGACCUCAGGGACCAUACCCUGCAAAAGCAAGAGCUUUGCUGGAUACAACUGUCUGCACUUGGCCCAGCCUGCUUCAAGUCACCCCAGAGCCCACCCUGGGGCCAUCUGGGAUCUCAUCCCAGUUCCAGGAUCUGGCCACCAAGCCAGUGUCUCCAGACAGCAUGAACAAUCCUGGCUCCAGCAGCUGUGUUUGCUGCCAAUGCCCAGAGCUCUCCACCAGAGCCAGCCCUGCUGGCUCCAGCUCCAAAAGACUCUGCUGACAAGACAGUGUCCUGCCGCCCUGCCCAAGGGAAUGAGCACACAGGGACCCCCCUUGCAGCCACCACACUGAGCACUGGGGUGCACAAUCAGCACCUUGAGGCUGUCUGCACAGCCUCACCCCCAGGACCUGGUCCAGCUGCCCAGACACAUACAGCAAAACCCCCUCCUGUCCACAGAGUGAGUCUCCCACCCACUGCGGUCCUCAUAUGCUUGAGGACAUUUACCUGCAUCUCCUGAAGGUGCUGCCAAUGCCUGUAGGCACUGGGUGCCCUUUUGCCAGUGCAGGCUCUUGCGAGAGAUGCUGACUGCUCACUACAGGCUGGCACAAGUCCCUCAUCCCCUAGAGCUGAGAUACCCCAUAUCAGGAAGCAACUGACUUACAACUGACUUACAACUCAGGACAACAUGGAAAGCCAAAGAAGUGCUGUGCUGGAGCAAAUAGCUCUUUUGAAGGGUCUGUAACGAGCCACCCAGAGUGCUGAGUGUCCUCAGCUGUGUGAGGCUGGUGGAACACUGCAGCGCAGCAGCCAGAGCUGCUUCACUGGCCAGCUGCUCUUCUGACACCUCGCAAAUGUCUUGUUCCCAGGCAUCUGUGAGAGCCCCAGAGAGCUGCAGGACUCCGGUUUGUGGAGCUCCCAUCUGCACCCCAAGGAGAGCCAUCACCUCAAUGAAGAGCCCAAGGUUCAGCACUGCAGUGUCAGAGGGACAGAGCUCUCAGGGAGGGGGCCCAGCCCAGGAGGUGUGGAGCCGUGCCUGGCUUCCAGCAGAGCAGAUCUAUGGGAACAGUGGGGUGGUUUGCAGCAGCCCUGUCCUGGCUGCAGCUGGGAGCACAGCCUCGGCCUGCCUGGCUUCCCACAGCUCCCAGUGGAUCUGAGAGCACUUGCUGCUGGGAAGAGCCCCCAAAGUCACCAGAAGGGGUGAGGGCAGCAUCUGUCCCCACUGCCUGCAGGAUGCUGCAGCUCCGUACUGCAGCCAGGAGGAAGCCCCCAGAGGGGUCCAUGAACCCCGUCAGUAAUUGACCCCUUGCUUGUGACACAGCCUGUGCGGUCGCACAGAGCAAAGGGCACACAAGGAGAAAAAGAACAAGAAGUUCUCGGGUUUAUUUUUUCCCCCGAAACUUUGCCUAUUCUGGGCAUAUGGCCAGAAAGUAAUAAAAAUCUGUUGUUUAGAAACA
rnacentral:lncRNA from 14 species